GUCUUAACUCAGGGGCAAACAUCUGCCUGGAGAAUUGCAGUGAACACAGAGCCUCUGAUUUAACAACCCCAAAGUGACCAACUCUCAGAUAUGACUCUGGAUUGAACAGAUAAGGAGGUGCCAGUAACAUGACAUAUAAUACCAAAAACAACAAUCAGAUAUGCAGAUAUGCUGACCUCAGAAGACCAGUCAGAAACCCCUUGCCAUGAAGCUGUUCAAUUCUUUUUGGGAGCAUUUGGCCUUCUAGACAUCCUGAGGUGUCUCUGAAAAGAAAUUUUAUUCUGCUAUGUCUACAUCAUACUAGGCUCUGAUUAGAAAAGAAUGAAACAGAUUCAUAGCUGGAAUAAAUGAAAACACUUUUCCA
rnacentral:lncRNA from 1 species